GCACAUUGAUCAGAAUAAAGCAAAGUGAUCAGGUUUUGAAGAUGUGGGGGGAAGUUUGUUCUCGCCAGAAACUUUUGGACAAAGGGAGUUCUGGGAUAGAGGUUCAAGAUGUAUACCAAAUCAUCAGUGUAGAGACUUCCCAUUUGCACCCGGUUCCAUGGACGAAAAAAAAAGAGGAAAUAGAUAAAGAUUUAUAUCGGAUCGAGUCUUGCUGAUCUUGCUGGCCAACUGUAAUAGCAAGAGAUCAACCAACCGCUGACUUCACAGAAAAAACACCUGCAGCCGACAAUCACAGCCUUAGGAAUCCGCAAUGUUCCAGUCAUUCUCCGGUGUUCAAUCAGAACCUGC